rnacentral:rRNA from 1 species
AGAGUUUGAUCCUGGCUCAGGAUUAACGCUGGCGGCGUGCAUAACACAUUCAAGUCGAACGGACAGUAGCAAUACUGUUAGUGGCGGACGGGUGAGUAACGCGUGAGCAAUCUACCUUCCAGUACGGGAUAACAACCGGAAACAGUUGCUAAUACCGUAUGAAAUGGCAGUAUCGCAUGGUACAACCAUCAAAGAUUAAUUGCUGGGAGAUGAGCUUGCGUCCGAUUAGAUAGUUGGUGAGGUAACGGCUCACCAAGUCGACGAUCGGUAGCCGGACUGAGAGGUUGAACGGCCACAUUGGAACUGAGAUACGGUCCAGACUCCUACGGGAGGCAGCAGUGGGGAAUAUUGGGCAAUGGGCGAAAGCCUGACCCAGCGACGCCGCGUGAGGGAAGAAGAUCUUCGGAUUGUAAACCUUAGUCAACAGGGAAGAAGAAAGUGACGGUACCUGUGGAGGAAGCCACGGCUAACUACGUGCCAGCAGCCGCGGUAAUACGUAGGUGGCGAGCGUUAUCCGGAUUUACUGGGUGUAAAGGGUGUGUAGGCGGGCUUUCAAGUCAGAUGGGAAAACUAUGGACCUAACCCAUAGCUUGCAUUUGAAACUGUGAGUCUUGAGAGUGGGAGAGGUAAAGGGAAUUCCCGGUGGAGGGGGGAAAUGGGUAUAUUUUGGGAGGAACACCGGGGGGGAAGGCGGUUUUCUGGACCAUUACUGACGUUGAGGACACGAAAGUGUGGGGAGCAAACAGGAUUAGAUACCCUGGGUAGUCCACGCCCUAAACGAUGAACACUAGGUGUGGGGUGCGUAGGCAUUCCGUGCCGCAGCUAACGCAAUAAGUAUUCCACCUGGGGAGUACGACCGCAAGGUUGAAACUCAAAGGAAUUGACGGGGGCCCGCACAAGCAGUGGAUUAUGUGGUUUAAUUCGACGCAACGCGAAGAACCUUACCAGGAUUUGACAUCCAACUAACGAAGUAGAGAUACAUUAGGUGCCCUUCGGGGAAAGUUGAGACAGGUGGUGCAUGGUUGUCGUCAGCUCGUGUCGUGAGAUGUUGGGUUAAGUCCCGCAACGAGCGCAACCCCUAUUGUUAGUUGCUACGCAAGAGCACUCUAGCGAGACUGCCGUUGACAAAACGGAGGAAGGCGGGGACGACGUCAAAUCAUCAUGCCCCUUAUGUCCUGGGCUACACACGUAAUACAAUGGUGGUUAACAGAGGGAAGCAAAACAGCGAUGUGGAGCAAAUCCCUAAAAGCCAUCUCAGUUCGGAUUGCAGGCUGCAACUCACCUGCAUGAAGCUGGAAUUGCUAGUAAUCGCGGAUCAGCAUGCCGCGGUGAAUACGUUCCCGGGCCUUGUACACACCGCCCGUCA